ACUGAAAUAGCUCAGUUGGUAGGGUGUCAGACUAUAAAUCGAAAGGUCCUUGGUUCGACCCCCGGUUCCGGCA
rnacentral:tRNA from 1 species